rnacentral:sRNA from 1 species
AAAGCUAGUUGAGAGAGCAUACUCUGGUUUUUCAUCUCUCACAGUAGUCAAAGAAGUUACAUACACAAUUAGAAUUUGUUGUUUCUGUUGCCAGAAACUCAAUACAAUUUGUCACAUCAGGAAAGGUUUUUUGUUGUUAUUGUUGUUGUUUUUGAGACGGAAUUUCACUUCACUCUUGUUGCCCAGGCUGGAGUGCAAUGGCGCGAUCUCGGCUUACCACAACCCCCACCUCCCAGGUUCAAGCGAUUCUCCUGCCUCAGCCUCCCAAGUAGCUGGAAUUACAGGCUUUGUCACUACGCCUGGCUAAUUUUGUAUUUUUAGUAGAGAUGGGGUUUCUCCAUGUUGGUCCUGCUGGUGUCGAACUCCCAACCUCAGGUGAUCCGCCUGCCUCAGCCUCCCAAAGUGCUGCGAUUACAGGCGUGAGCCACUGCACCUGGCCCAGGAAAAGUUUUUUACAUACGAAUUAAAGAUGCUUCUUUAUGCAAAUUUUUAAACCCCAGGUUUGAAGUAGGAUAAAAGGUAACAUUAAAUCUGAGAUCAUUUCUAGCUCUGGAAUUCUGUGAUUGUAAUGAGUUUUGAUUUCUAAAUGUUUUUUCCUUUCAUAAUUUCAGGGUUAGUCAGCAACAUAAAAUCAACCUAAUGACAGCAGACAACUUAUCCAUCUGUUUUUGGCCAACCUUGAUGAGACCUGAUUUUGAAAAUCGAGAGUUUCUGUCUACUACUAAGAUUCAUCAAUCUGUUGUUGAAACAUUCAUUCAGCAGUGUCAGUUUUUCUUUUACAAUGGAGAAAUUGUAGAAACGACAAACAUUGUGGCUCCUCCACCACCUUCAAACCCAGGACAGUUGGUGGAACCAAUGGUGCCACUUCAGUUGCCGCCACCAUUGCAACCUCAGCUGAUACAACCACAAUUACAAACGGAUCCUCUUGGUAUUAUAUGAGUAGGAAGUGAUUGCAAACAGGCUGGAUUUGGACAAAAAGCAAAUCUAGACAUGCAUGUUUCAGGGUUCAGUAGUAUACUUCAUGUUUCAUACAGAUAAUUCACAUUCAAAAUUACAUUUUCUCUUUGAACUAGAUGGUAUUCCUUAUUCACUUACAUUACAAAUCUAAGACCAUGUGAUAAGCAUGACUGGAGAGGUUUAAUUUUUAUAAACAAAAAUAGCUAUAAAGUACAAAGCUGCUGCUGCAUGCAACCUUAUUGCAAUCAGUAUAUCAUUCCUGUGGCAAUUUCUGUCACAUUAUAUUGUGAAUAAAAUUUUUCUAUAGAAAUUAAAUGAUUUAAAAACUCACCUAUAUGAAACAUUUAAUGCUUUUCAGCCUGCUUUCUGGCUGAUUUUGUUAUUUGAUGUGCUAAUUUGGGCAACUUAAUUUACAUUCUGGCAGUCGGUGUAGAUAACUAAAAGCCCAGUUAAGUAUUUUAUAAUUUCAGGCUACUGAGGCCAUGCUUGGGAUGUUGUUUGAAAGAAAGAAAAAAUAUACUUGACAUAUUUCACAUUUCUGUACCUUCAUCUUUACUUCCAAGUAAACCUAUGGAUGAUUUGAUGAGGGAUAAAUGAACCUAUUUCUUUUACACACAUACCAAGGACAUGCUUGUGGCUAAAGUGAGUUGAUAAUGUUGUGCAAAGGAUAGUUGUCACCAACUCAUUUCUUUAUGGUCCAUAAUGAAAUAAAAAUUUUGUAUACUGUUAAUUCUGUAAACAGAUGCAUGUUCAAAAGAUCUAUGAUGGUCUUGUAAUCUUAAUCUAAUAUAUUUUAGAUAUUUUAAUUUUUUCCCUCUUGGGGAACACAUUUAGUAUAGUGUAGAAAAUACUUCAUGACAUUUUCAUAUAAGGUUAUAUAACUUUUCAUACAUAAACAUGAAAUUUGUUGUAGAAAAUUCUUUAAACCAAACAUUUAAAUCUAGGACUUCAAUUUAAUUUGUUCCUUGAAUCUAUUUUUAUGUGGCCCUUAAAAAAUAUCCAAAAAACCCAUUGCUAAUAUAGCAAUAAAAAUACUUUGGGUACUGACAGACUCCUUGGAGUGUUUAUAUUACAAAUUUGUAUCCAUAUUCUUUUCUGUGAUGUGUUGUACUAAAAUCCAAAAUGGCUUUUGCACCAUUUUUAAGCCAGUUUUUUCCUUUGAUGUUGGUACCAGAAUUACUAUAAGUGACUGCUGCUUUUGGGGGUAAACAUUUUGUUAGUGAAGAUAAAACCAGAACACUAAAUUAUGGAUAAAAUUUUCAGAAUAGGUGGCACAGGUAAAUUUCACUAGGUUAUAUUUUGUGUAGUAAAGAAAAAAAUUCUUUGGUCAAUGUUAUCUUAAUUCAUACUACAAUUUUAAGAUUAUCUUAUGUGUAUUAUAGUAAAUAGAUGAUUUUCAGAUUCAAGGCUCCUAAGAGUUUGAUUUGCUCUGUUUUUUCCUAAAAUAAAUAUUGUCUCUCCCAACUGUUAAGUUCUAGGUAUUGUACUUCCAAUUUUAACUUCAGAACCAAGAUGUUGGCAUGAACCAGGCUGCUGUUGAAGUACAUGUAUAUUAUAAAUUAUCUUAUUUGUGUUAUACUCUUACAUGUUAUCUUUUCUAAGAAAACAAAGUCCCUAUUAUUCCUAUUGCAAAGCACACAGGAAUUAAGAAAGUACAGUAAUUUUUAAAAAAAAAAUCCGGUAAAUGUAGUAUUCUUAACCUGUUCUAUAUUACUUAUACCUAUUGUCUAUAUAGCUUUAAUUUAUAGUUGUCAGUUUAACUAUUGGCAUGUCUGGCAAAGAAAAUUAAACUUUAAGAGUUUUAUAAACUGUUUCUAGGUUGCUAAAGAAUUUAUUUUUCUACUAUAUAUGGUAUAGACAAAGCAUCAAACUAUGUACAGGAAAAAAGCCUGACUAUUUCUAUUGGAAGUAGGCUGAAAAGAGAAUUUUCAAAACUGUUCGUGUCUUCAGUUCAUUCUGUCAUAACUUUGCUAUUGUAAUAUGUGAAUACCAGUUUAUUUAAGCUGUUCUCUUUUAUACUGUAUUAAUUUAAUGUUCAUCUGCGUUUAGUACCAUUUUUGUUAUUAAAACUGGCAUUUACUGUUUUUCACAUUAACCCACCUUGCACCUUCCCCCAAACUUAUCUCCACUUUUCUAUGCAUUCUAUCAUUGAUUUGACACACUUCAUAGUGAGUCAUUUAAAUACUCUACAUUUGGUUCAAUUAACCAGUAGGUUACAGUUAUUGAAAAUUAAAGUACAGUUUAAAGCUC